GGGCCGGUGGAUCAGCCUGGAAUGAUCGUCCGCUUGGCAUGCGGGAGGUCGCGGGUUCAAAUCCCGCCCGGUCCACCA
rnacentral:tRNA from 1 species